CUCUGGGUCGACUGAAUGACUUCUGCCCUCUGCUUUGCCUUAAUAAAAAAGGAUGGUGACAUUAAACAAAGCAGUCCAAAACAACGGUAGAAUAACACUUUAUGAAUGAAAAUAGAGGAAAAGAUUAAGGACCAAGGACUCCACAGUUCAACCCUGAGCCACAAAUAUUCUCUUAGUUGGUAAGGACGCUAUGUCAUCACUUGCAGUCAAAUAGGUUCACUGAUUUCAGAUUCUUUCUGCUGUUACGACAUCCCCACAUGGACUUUGCAGGACAGCUCAUAUUUAAGGGAAAAAGGGUUUCAUUGAGAAGAGUCUCCAAGUGCUUUUCUACCAAUUUUAUGCCGUGAAAUGCAGCUAUGGGUGGGAGACAUUCUAAGUAUAUUAUGCCAUAACCAGUUGCUGGAGACAUGAAGCCCUUCUGACAGGCUAUUUUGUCCUUCUCCCUUCAAAUGAUUAACACUGAAUUAUUAUGAGAGCCAUGUGGGGAAGUCUGUGGUCAUCCAUUUGCUGUCCAAUUUCUCAACUUCAAGAACACAGAUAUUACUGAAAACAAAAUGCUUUCCUCCAGAUACCAAAACAU